rnacentral:rRNA from 1 species
GACGGAGGGUGCAAACGUUGUUCGGAAUUACUGGGCGUAAAGCGCGUGUAGGCGGCUGCGCAAGUCGGAUGUGAAAUCCCAUGGCUCAACCAUGGAAGUGCACCCGAAACUGCGUAGCUUGAGUCUCGGAGAGGAAGGCGGAAUGCUUGGUGUAGAGGUGAAAUUCGUAGAUAUCAAGCGGAACACCGGUGGCGAAGGCGGCCUUCUGGACGAUGACUGACGCUGAGACGCGAAAGCGUGGGGAGCGAACAGG